UACGGAGGGAGCGAACGUUGUUCGGAUUUACUGGGUGUAAAGGGUGCGUAGGCGGCCCCGUGUGUCGGAGGUGAAAUCCAGCGGCUCAACCGCUGGCCUGCCCCCGAAACUGCAGGGCUUGAGUCCGUGAGAGGAAGGCGGAAUUCCUGGUGUAACGGUGAAAUGUGCAGAUAUCAGGAAGAACACCCGUAGCGAAGGCGGCCUUCUGGUGCGGUACUGACGCUGAGGCACGAAAGCUAGGGUAUCGAACGGG
rnacentral:rRNA from 1 species